AUAACCAUUCUGAAAGAAAAAUGAAGCGUUCAAUAUAGUAUCAGACAAGGUGAAACCAAUAUUUGCCUGGUGGGGCAGGCGCGAUUGACCAACGAAUAGUAUUUGCGUAUAACGCAGUUAGUUUACUGACUAAUUACAUUUUACCUGCUUACAACAUCAACUCGUCUUACUCUUUGUUAUUUGUACACAUAUUUCAUUCGACAAUUAUAACUUUUUCAUUCUCAAAUUAAUCAAAUUCAAUAAAACUGUCAAUUUUUUUUUUGCUAGAAAAAUUUAAUUUUUUGUGUCGCACCGGAAUAAAAAUGAGACGUGGAUCAGUGAGCACAUGGGAGCCUUGGGCUCGUCGUAAUUCAUCUACCAUGGCACAGUUUUCAAGUAAUCGACAAGAAUUUAUGACUAGUGAACCUGGAACAAAUGGAAUAGAGUAUCAGAGAGAAGGGGGAUUUUUUUUAUCCCAUAGAAAGCUUGCAAUUGCUAUCACCGUCAUUUUUCUUCUUCUCGUUGCAGUAGGAUUUGUUGGAGUUUAUUCUGGAGCUGUUCCUCGCAAAAAGGUAUACGAUACAACGGCUCUGAUAGCUGAAGAUGAAGGAUCAGAGCCUGCUGAUGCUAACAAAUAUUUUCUUUCUACUUCUGUAUUUCCCUCGAGGUAUCUUGUAAAAUUGACGCCGAUUGUUGAGGAUAAUGAGGUCUCAAGGGUUCGGGGCCAAGUCAUUAUAGAGUUUCGGUACAAUGGAACCAUGGAUCUUCAACACAUUGUCCUCAAUGCGAAAAGCAUGAACAUUACAAAGAUAAGACUAUGGCCUGAAGAUAAGAAUAUAGGAAUUUUAAAAUGGAGAAUGAAUUUUGAUAACAAGAAUCUAGCAAUGAAUGUUUUCUCAUUAGAAAAUGGUACUACCUUUGGAAACACGUUUUUAUUAUUUUCAACCAAUUUUUUACAUCAGAUACUUAUUAAUGUUGUUUAUAAUUCAAUUAAAGAUCCAAAUAAUUUGACUACUCUUGAUAAUCAAUUUGAUAAUCAAAGUGUUUCUGCAAUUUUAUCGGAAUCAUCAAAAGACCUGUCAGAUGCACCAAUUCCUUCGAACACUUCUGAACCAGUGAUUCAUGAGAUUAAUAUCACUAAGAGCGACGUUGAUGAACAACAUGGAAUCCUCAUGAUUAAUCCUAGCUCACCUAUCAAGCCAGGAAUCUAUUUGAUUGAAAUGGAUUUUGAAUCUUAUACUGACAGCCGUACUUUUCUUGUAGCUAAUUUCAGCGAUGAAGAUACUGAAAGCUGGUUAAUGGUGAGUCGAUUGAAACCCAUUAAUGCUCGACGAUUAUUUCCAAUCUUUGAUGAUGUCAAGCUAAAAGCUCAAUUUACAGUUUCCUUCACACAUCCUAAAAAUAUGAUUGUUUUGGCAAAUACUCCACUCAAUAGUACUUUUGAUAAUUUAUCUGAUAGUUGGAUAAUUGAUACGUUUGAGGAGACACCAUUGAUUUCUCCUCAUAGUCUUGCUUUAGCUCUGGGUCAUCUGAUAUCUGUUGGAAUGACAAAAGUAGGAAAAUACAAAAUACCGGUUAAUUUUUGGAGUCAAGUCGGUGAAAGUGUCGUACCAAAUUAUUUAUUAAAAGUGAUUGGUUUAGUUGUGGAUGCAUUUGAAGAGUUAUUUGCAGUAGCCUUCCCGAUAUCUAAAUUAGAUAUUAUUUGUGUUCCAUUCGCUGAUAACAGCGGUAAUUUAGGAUUAAUAUCAAUAACAGAAAAUUUAUUCAAUGUUACUGAAUCAUCGCCCGGUAUUACUCGAUAUGAGGCAUUGAAAACAAUAAUUAGACUAAUUGGUCGACAAUGGUUAGGGAGUCUCGUCAAUUCACGAAAUUGGACGGAUGUUUGGAUUUUAGAGAGUUCUUUAAUUGAUCUCCAGCAUACUUUAAUUGAACAAAUAGAUCCCGUAUUUAAUCAUUCAACAUUUUUACUUGAUGUUCAACUGGAUGCUUUUGAAGCAGAUGGAUAUAGUGUAUCUCAGUCAUUAACGUCAAAAGUCAAUCCUGCUUACUUAGAAGCUUUCCAUCCGGAUAAAUUAUAUGAUAGAGGUGCAUGUCUCUUACGCAUGUUGCAUUACGUAUUGAAGCGGAAUAACUCUAGGACUGUCUACAGGAAGUUCGUUUCACGGUGGUCCAAUGGAAACGCAGAUGUUCAUUCAUUUUUAGAAGAGAUGACCUCUGAAUCAAAUAAUUUAUCUCAUAAUGUAAAUCUGAUUAAUGUAAUGGAAUCGUGGAUCAAUGGGCAUGGUUAUCCUGUGAUUGAAAUUAGCAGAGAUUAUGAUGCAGGUUCAGCGAAAAUUUAUCAAAAACACUUUGUAUUUGAUAAUAUAACAAACGAUGAUGAAAGCUCAUGGCAUAUUCCACUUACAUGGAUCAAUGAGGGAAAUGACUGGUCCUCUCCUUCUUUUGCGUGGAUUAAUGCAGCAAAGAAAGAGAUGAUAUUGGAAAAUGUUGGUGAUGUAGGAGAAAAAUCAUGGGUCAUUUUUAACAUAAAUUCUUCUGGUUAUUAUCGGGUUAAUUACGACAAUUAUAAUUGGAAAUUGAUUGCCAUGGCACUCGAAUUAAAUCCAUCGAUUUUUCCAUCAUCAGUAAAAGCCUCUCUUGUGGAUGAUGUGAUGAGUUUAUCGUUUGUUGGAUCGACAUCUUACGCUACCGCUUUUAGAAUAAUAAAUUAUUUGAAAAAUGAAACACAGCCUGAGCCUUGGACUGCGCUUAUGCGUCAUGUAAUCAAGUUGGAUCUUGUUUUAUAUGACACACCAGUUUAUCCAGACUAUCAGGAAUUCAUGAGAAAACUAACAUCAAGUCUGUUCAGCCGAGUAGGAACACAGGUUGAACGAGGAAGUAGAAUGACUUUGAUAGCACAUCAAUUGGGCUCAACUUUCGAGAAUUCUGAUUACAUUAAAUGGGCCAAGAAUAAUUAUGAGAGCUUAAGGACAUCUCAUGUGUGGAAAGACAGAUAUGUUGUUGCCACUUAUUUACGUGAAACACUACUUUGUACUUUUGCUAAAUUGGAAGACGAACUGGGUUGGCAAUGGUGGCAACAGAAAUUAGGAAACAUUACACGACGAGAUACUGAUAGAAAUUCCUUCUUGUCAUCUUUGGCUUGUUUUCAAGUUCCCUGGAUACUGAAAGCAGUUUUAAAUGAAAUUGUUCGUGGUGAUUUUUUUGAUGAAAAUGACGUUUUAAUUAUUCUCAAAGCUUUCGAUAAACAUCCAGUAUCUGCUCAAGUAGCAUUUAAAUUUGUUCAAAACAAUUGGGCGAAUAUUUUAAACAGAUUUCGAAAGUCAUAUCCUAUUCUUAGAGCAUUUGUUGGCUCUGUAGGUAGUGGUUUUACGAGUGAGAAAGAUCUUGCUGAUUUUCAGAAUUUUCGAGAUAAUAACUAUGAGAGUCUUAAGCCUGUUGGUUAUAUCACAGCAUUGGUAGAAGCAAGAGGAACCUCUUGGAUUUCAUUUCUUCAAAAAUCUCUGGCUGAUUUCCAGGAUAAUAUUCUCAAUUUAAAAGAAUGAACAUUGUUUGGGAGUUGCAGAGUAACAUGAUUAAUCAGCGUGUACGUAGGAAAUUUUUAAAAAUAAUAUUCUGAAGGAAAAAUUUUCAUAAGAAAGACGGUACCACGGUAUAUCUAAAAUACUUUUACAAACUUCAUCAGAGGUAACAAGAAAAUAAAACCAAUUUUCUACCACAAGUUUUAUUUUCGCAUGCUUCCAUCAAGCAUGAUUACAAAACCGAGCAACAAGAAUCUUGUUUUUUACUCUCACAUAAUUAUUUUAAUGACAUUACUUUUUUUAAUAGUAGGGGAAACCAGGCCAAGACCCUCCCUCCCUUUUGAGAAAAAAAUGUAAAAAUGUGUGAAAUUUUGACAUUUGAGUAUGGAAAAAAUAAAACCACAAAAUUCUUAAAUAGAACAUCUUGCCCCGAUUUCUCCUAUAUAUAUAUACAUAUACAUAUACUAUAUACAUAUAAAUCUAAUCAGAGUGUCAUUUGGGAACAUUUCUUAAGUACAAGGUAUUAUUUGAGAACAUUUGUAUAGUUUGGGGACAGUCCCAAAAAAAAUCAUGUAUCCAACGUAUUAUUUGAGCCACUGGUCUAUAUACAAGGUAUUAUUUGAGGACACGACGUUGCCACGUUGUAAUGGAUUUAUUUUUGUUUUUUGAAAAAAAAGGUGAAAAUAAGGGCAAAGGAACACUGUAAUUGCAUACGCUGUACUUGCAGGGUUAUAUUUUUCUUUUUAACCGUGCGGCCGAAGGCCGCACGGGAAUUUUGAAAAUCGAGAGGGGGAUACCAGUCCCUCGUCCCCAAAUAAUACAUUAAAUGGAUUUAUAUAUAUAUAUAUAUAUAACAAACUUUAGGAUAUACAUACAUAUAUAUAUUAUAUUAUAUGUAUUAAUAUAUAUUUGAACUCUAUCUAAUGAUAAUAUUUGUUACUGAAGAUAAUCAUUGAAUCUCAAUCAAUUUAAUAAUGCGCUUCUUUUAUUGGUACAGAUGCAAUACUUUUAUAAACACUAUUAUGAAUACUAUUACAAUAUAACUAUUAUUUAAUUGAAUUUCCAUGUGCUUUUUGUGUGUUAAUUAUUCGUCUUUGAACUGUUCAUCAUUGUCAGUAAUUAAUGCACAAUGGCCCAACAGAUACAUGUAAAAUACAAAUGAACACAUGGUGUUUACUGAUAAUUAAUUAAUUAAUAAUUAAUUAAUUAAUAAUUCAAUAAAAAUAAAGAAAUAUUUUUAUAAGUAUA
rnacentral:misc_RNA from 1 species